UGGGGAAUAUUGCACAAUGGGCGCAAGCCUGAUGCAGCAACGCCGCGUGAGGGAUGACGGCCUUCGGGUUGUAAACCUCUUUUAGUAGGGAAGAAGCGAAAGUGACGGUACCUGCAGAAAAAAGCACCGGCUAACUACGUGCCAGCAGCCGCGGUAAUACGUAGGGUGCGAGCGUUGUCCGGAAUUAUUGGGCGUAAAGAGCUCGUAGGCGGUCUGUCGCGUCUGCUGUGAAAACCCGAGGCUCAACCUCGGGCCUGCAGUGGGUACGGGCAGACUAGAGUGCGGUAGGGGAGAAUGGAAUUCCUGGUGUAGCGGUGGAAUGCGCAGAUAUCAGGAGGAACACCGAUGGCGAAGGCAGUUCUCUGGGCCGUAACUGACGCUGAGGAGCGAAAAGCGUGGGGAGCGAACAGGAUUAGAUACCCUGGUAGUCCACGCCGUAAAACGUUGGGCGCUAGAUGUGGGGACCAUUCCACGGUUUCCGUGUCGCAGCUAACGCAUUAAGCGCCCCGCCUGGGGAGUACGGCCGCAAGGCU
rnacentral:rRNA from 1 species